rnacentral:rRNA from 1 species
CCUACGUGAGGCAGCAGUGGGGAAUAUUGCACAAUGGGGGGAACCCUGAUGCAGCAACGCCGCGUGGGUGAAGAAGUACUUCGGUAUGUAAAGCCCUGUCAGCAGGGAAGAAAAUGACGGUACCUGACCAAGAAGCCCCGGCUAACUACGUGCCAGCAGCCGCGGUAAUACGUAGGGGGCAAGGUGUAUCCGGAUUUACUGGGUGUACAGGGAGCGUAGACUGCAAGGCAAUUCUGGGGUGAAAGCCCGUGGCGCAACCACGGGACUGCUUUGGAAACUGUGUUGCUGGAGUGCAGGAGGGGUAAGCGGAAUUCCUAGUGUAGCGGUGAAAUGCGUAGAUAUUAGGAGGAACACCGGUGGCGAAGGCGGCUUACUGGACUGUAACUGACGUUGAGGCUCGAAGGCGUGGGGAGCAAACAGGAUUAGAUACCCCUGUAGUC